rnacentral:rRNA from 1 species
AUACGGAGGGUGCAAGCGUUAUCCGGAAUCAUUGGGUUUAAAGGGUCCGUAGGCGGGCAAUUAAGUCGGAGGUGAAAUCCCACAGCUCAACUGUGGAACUGCCUUUGAUACUGGUUGUCUUGAGUUAUAGUGAAGUAGAUAGAAUGUGUAGUGUAGCGGUGAAAUGCAUAGAUAUUACACAGAAUACCGAUUGCGAAGGCAGUCUACUAACUGUUGACUGACGCUAAUGGACGAAAGCGUGGGGAGCGAACAGGAUUAGAAACCCCAGUAGUCC